AAGACCUUGCGCUUUUGGAGCGGCCGAUGCCUGAUUAGCUUGUUGGUAAGGUAAAAGCUUACCAAGGCUUCGAUCAGUAGCUGGUCUGAGAGGACGACCAGCCACACUGGGACUGAGACACGGCCCAGACUCCUACGGGAGGCAGCAGUGGGGAAUUUUGGACAAUGGGGGCAACCCUGAUCCAGCCAUGCCGCGUGAGUGAAGAAGGCCUUCGGGUUGUAAAGCUCUUUCAGCCGGAACGAAACGGUUACGGAUAACACCCGUGACUACUGACGGUACCGGAAGAAGAAGCACCGGCUAACUACGUGCCAGCAGCCGCGGUAAUACGUAGGGUGCGAGCGUUAAUCGGAAUUACUGGGCGUAAAGCGUGCGCAGGUGGUUUUGUAAGUCAGGUGUGAAAGCCCCGGGCUCAACCUGGGAACU
rnacentral:rRNA from 1 species